GAAACGCGAUAGUUAAUGUGAAUUGCAGAAUUCAGUGAAUCAUCGAGUCUUUGAACGCACAUUGCGCCCAUAGGUAUUCCUUUGGGCAUGUCUGUUUGAGCGUCAUUACAACCCUCAGCUAACCGCUGGUUUUGAACCUGAACGGGUGACACCGCGCCGGUUUUAAAGUUGUAAGCUCUGCUGGCCGCUCUGCCCAACCAGAACAUAGUAAGCACUACUUGUCCGGGUGAAGCUGAACGGUACGGCCUGAACAAAACCUACCCACUCUCAAGGUUUGACCUCAGAUCAGACAAGGAUAUCCGCUGAACUUAAGC
rnacentral:misc_RNA from 1 species